rnacentral:rRNA from 1 species
UACGGGGGGGGCAAGCGUUGUUCGGAAUUACUGGGCGUAAAGGGCGUGUAGGCGGCCAACUAAGUCCGACGUGAAAUCCCCAGGCUUAACCUGGGAACUGCGUCGGAUACUGAAUGGCUUGAAUCCGGGAGAGGGAUGCGGAAUUCCAGGUGUAGCGGUGAAAUGCGUAGAUAUCUGGAGGAACACCGGUGGCGAAGGCGGGUCUCUGGGCAGUAACUGACGCUGAGGAGCGAAAGCGUGGGGAGCGAACAGG